AGAAGAAAACACUGAGAUAACCAACUAUGAUAAACUGCAGUUGGAAUUUAACGACCCAGUGGAUGGGAAACAAAGGGAAGAAAUGAGACUUGAAAAAACAAACAAACAGGGAGAUCAAGUGAAGGGUGGGCAGACCUCUAUUUGACUGAUGCUUGCUCCCUUUGAAGAAUAUCUAUUGGCACCUACUUCUACAAAAGACCAGCUGAAACAUCUAACCUGGUGGGACUGAGCAACUACUAGAUUCUUCGACUUCCCAUUCACAGUGACUUCUGGCUGUUUCCACUGACUUGGGCUGAUUGACAGAGACUCUUCUGUUUGUUCUGGAUGAACUGCCAUUGCUGAUUCAUAGAGAGAAUCUACAAGUGACUUGAGGUACUGCUGCUGAUCUGUGUGAACUGAACUGCAAAUAUUUUGACAAGAUUGGAAUUGCCCCAAAUAAAUGUUUCUAAAUAGGUCCACA
rnacentral:lncRNA from 1 species